rnacentral:rRNA from 1 species
UACAGAGGUCUCAAGCGUUGUUCGGAUUCAUUGGGCGUAAAGGGCGCGUAGGCGGCGGGGUAAGUCGGGUGUGAAAUCUCAGAGCUCAACUCUGAAACUGCACUCGAUACUGCUCUGCUUGAGGAGUGCAGAGGUGAGUGGAAUUCUCGGUGUAGUGGUGAAAUGCGUAGAUAUCGAGAGGAACACCAGUGGCGAAGGCGGCUCACUGGGCACCACCUGACGCUGAGGCGCGAAAGCGUGGGGAGCGAACCGG